AUUAUACAGCUUUUCAAAAACUCAACUGGGAUGAAAAUAGGAAAUCGUUAAGGUUUGAUGUUCUGGCUCCUUCUGGUAAAUUCCUAUCAAAAUCAUUCAGAAAUUCUAGCUUGUAGAAUUUAUUUUAUUCUUAUUUGCAAAUCAUAGACGAUGUAUCAUAAUUUAUACUUCAGAAUUUUUCAUUCCAGGGCUUUUAAGAGCCUUUUCAAUGUUUUUUUUUAGAUGUUGGGGGUAGGAGUUUAUUAAUUAAUUUAUUUAUUUUUGCUGUGUUGGGUCUUCGUUUCUGUACAAAGGCUUUCUCUAGUUGUGGCAAGCGGGGGCCACGCUUCAUCGCGGUGCGUGGGCCUCUCACUAUCGCGGCCUCUCCUGUUGCAGAGCACAGGCUCCAGACGCAAAGGCUCAGUAGUUGUGGCUCAUGGGCCUAGUUGCUCCGCGGCAUGUGGGAUCCUCCCAGACCAGGGCUCGAACCCGUGUCCCCUGCAUUAGCAGGCAGAUCCUCAACCACUGCGCCACCAGGGAAGCCCUUCAAUGUUUUUACAGAAAAGUCAAUCCUGCUGAUGGUUGCCAAGAGAGCCAGAAAAGUGGGCUUCAGCUGAAACACUACUGCUACCCACACCCAGAAUCUGGAAAUACAUAAAAUUUCCCAGCUAUGAUUUCUCUUCACUCAUUAGAGAAGCCUAUAACUAUCUGACCUCCAUGAGGGUAGAGACCCCAACUAAUGCAACUCUGUAUCUCCAGCAUCCAAAAAGGGCCUUAAUGAAUGGAACAGUGGGGCACCAGAGAACACCAGCUCCUCAAAUAAAAGAGGUACAAGCCAGAGUCCUGGAAAGCAGUGCUUCUCUCCUAAAGAAUAUAUACAUGACGGAAAAAGCACACCCAAGCUUGCAGCCCCACUCUCCUGUACCUACCCCAGAGUUCCAUUUUCUGGACUGGAAAUCCGCUGUGGAAGUCCACAAAGAGAAAAAGCAGCAGAGUUUGUCCCUGGGGGUCCAUAUUC